rnacentral:lncRNA from 1 species
CAAAAUUGAAGGAAUCUUUUGAAUACCUUUUCUGGGCUCUGGCAAUUCAGUCUUGGUGGAGAAGUAAGUUACCUUUGACUUAUUAUUAUGAUUUUAGGUUCAUCUAAUGCUUAUUUUUUCUAGAUUUAUCAAAGAAAUUCCGAGAGUUGCUCGUAUCUCAAAUCUUGUGGUAUGAACACAUGGAGCUGGAGGCAAGCGUUUGACGGUUAUCAUUCUCAAGUUGGAUUGGUGAGCUUAUGUUCAUCCCAUUGUGGAACCCAAGAAGAUACUGGAAAAAUGUUAAAUGAUUUGAGUUCAUUUUGAAGUGAAGAGCUGGUUCCAUGGUAGAGCCAUUGGAAUUGAUAUUUUCUUAUCUUGGAUUUUGAUCAUCAGAUCAGUUGGGGAUGAAGUCUCUUUGUAUGUUAUUGCCUUUCAAGUUGUUUAAGCAGCAUUGUGGUGAGGUGAUAUUAAGAUUCAUGCUUUUUUCUUUUCGGCAGUUGACUCCAUAGGAUCAGUGGAGGACUCCAUUCAGCUUCAUUGAAAAGUAGAGAUUUAAUCAUCUGGUAUCUCAAUAUACUCAUUGCAUUUUCCUUCAAUGAUAUCUUGAUUCGUUGAUUUAUGAUUCAUGUCUAUUUAUACUGGAAUUGCAGUCGCAGAUUAAGGGUGGGUUUGAUAUGAUAUCUUCGGUCUCACCAAAAAAACAAGUUCCACUAAAUUUCUAGUGUUAAUGUAAGGUUGUGCCCUAUGCCUAAUCUUUUUUAUCUCACUUCAUAGAUGUGCUUUUUACUUGCAGAGUUUAAAACAAUGUAGUAUAAGUCAGUCAAAACCUAGAGAUUAAGCUUUGACUUUUUAAAUAUGCUACUGUGAAGGGAAUGAAGAUGUCAGUGAUUGGUUUAAGAAAAGCAGAUGAGGAAACAGAGUCAAGACGACAUUAAUGGCAGAUGAGUAAGCUUCUAAUUUCUUCUAUUGAGUUAUUGCCAUAUAUUUGUGGUUGAACCGAGACGUCGAGGCUGUAUUGCAAUUUGUUAACAGAUUUUCCUAGUUGAUAUCAUUCAACUU